AUUGAACGCUGGCGGCAUGCUUUACACAUGCAAGUCGAACGGUAACAGGUUAAGCUGACGAGCGGCGAACGGGUGAGUAAUGCAUCGGAACGUGCCCGGUCGUGGGGGAUAACGCAGCGAAAGCUGCGCUAAUACCGCAUACGAUCUGAGGAUGAAAGCGGGGGACCGUAAGGCCUCGCGCGACCGGAGCGGCCGAUGGCAGAUUAGGUAGUUGGUGGGGUAAAGGCCCACCAAGCCGACGAUCUGUAGCUGGUCUGAGAGGACGACCAGCCACACUGGGACUGAGACACGGCCCAGACUCCUACGGGAGGCAGCAGUGGGGAAUUUUGGACAAUGGGCGAAAGCCUGAUCCAGCAAUGCCGCGUGCAGGAAGAAGGCCUUCGGGUUGUAAACUGCUUUUGUACGGAGCGAAAAGGUCCUUUCUAAUACAAGGGGCUCAUGACGGUACCGUAAGAAUAAGCACCGGCUAACUACGUGCCAGCAGCCGCCGCGG
rnacentral:rRNA from 1 species